GUUGAAGGUGUGCUGUGAGGCAUGCUGGAGGUAUCAGAAGUGCGAAUGCUGACAUAAGUAACGAUAAAGCGGGUGAAAAGCCCGCUCGCCGGAAGACCAAGGGUUCCUGUCCAACGUUAAUCGGGGCAGGGUGAGUCGACCCCUAAGGCGAGGCCGAAAGGCGUAGUCGAUGGGAAACAGGUUAAUAUUCCUGUACUUGGUGUUACUGCGAAGGGGGGACGGAGAAGGCUAUGUCAGCCGGGCGACGGUUGUCCCGGUUUAAGCAUGUAGGCGGAGGUUCCAGGUAAAUCCGGUACCUUUUAACGCUGAGGUGUGAUGACGAGGCACUACGGUGCUGAAGUGAUAAAUGCCCUGCUUCCAGGAAAAGCCUCUAAGCAUCAGGUAACACGAAAUCGUACCCCAAACCGACACAGGUGGUCAGGUAGAGAAUACCAAGGCGCUUGAGAGAACUCGGGUGAAGGAACUAGGCAAAAUGGUGCCGUAACUUCGGGAGAAGGCACGCUGAURUGUAGGUGAAGCCCCUGCGGGCGGAGCUGAAAUCAGUCGAAGAUACCAGCUGGCUGCAACUGUUUAUUAAAAACACAGCACUGUGCAAACACGAAAGUGGACGUAUACGGUGUGACGCCUGCCCGGUGCCGGAAGGUUAAUUGAUGGGGUYAGCGGCAACGCGAAGCUCUUGAUCGAAGCCCCGGUAAACGGCGGCCGUAACUAUAACGGUCCUAAGGUAGCGAAAUUCCUUGUCGGGUAAGUUCCGACCUGCACGAAUGGCGUAAUGAUGGCCAGGCUGUCUCCACCCGAGACUCAGUGAAAUUGAACUCGCUGUGAAGAUGCAGUGUACCCGCGGCAAGACGGAAAGACCCCGUGAACCUUUACUAUAGCUUGACACUGAACACUGGUCCUUGAUGUGUAGGAUAGGUGGGAGGCUUUGAAGCGUGGACGCCAGUCUGCGUGGAGCCRACCUUGAAAUACCACCCUUUAAUGGCUGGUGUUCUAACGUAGACCCGUWAYCCGGGUUGCGGACAGUGUCUGGGGGGCUGCUCCUAGUACGAGAGGACCGGAGUGGACGCAUCACUGGUGUUCGGGUUGUCAUGCCAAUGGCACUGCCCGGUAGCUAAAUGCGGAAGAGAUAAGUGCUGAAAGCAUCUAAGCACGAAACUUGCCCCGAGAUGAGUUCUCCCUGAGACUUUAAGUCUCCUGAAGGAACGUUGAAGACGACGACGUUGAUAGGUCGGGUGUGUAAGCGCAGCGAUGCGUUGAGCUAACCGAUACUAAUGAACCGUGAGGCUUAACCUU
rnacentral:rRNA from 1 species